rnacentral:tmRNA from 1 species
GGGGGUGACUGGAUUUGACAGCACGUAGAAACGGUAAGUAAGCAUGCAGAGCUUUGAUGUGCAAGCUCUAUAAUAACAACGCAUCGAACUAUAAUUGGCGAAAGAAAUACUUACGCUCUCGCUGCCUAACCGAAGUAUAGUAAGUUGGCUUUAUUUGCGUCAAAGUGGCGCGAACGAGACAUCAUCCCAUUGCCCGGUUCCGAGACGUUUGGACAAGAUGGUGCAGAGAAAUUCGGAAAUAGAACUUCUGGAACCUUGACUGGAGUUUGAAAUUUAGAGGAUAAGGAUAUGGUUGGUAGUCGUGAGCCUGCCAUAUCACGAAAAUCAAGUCAAUGACUAAGCAUGUAGAAAGCUUAUUGGGUCCGUGAUUGGACGAGGGUUCAAUCCCCUCCACCUCCACCA